rnacentral:rRNA from 1 species
AUUCCAGCUCCAAUAGCGUAUAUUAAAGUUGUUGCGGUAAAAAAGCUCGUAGUUGGAUUUCUGUUGAGGACGACCGGUCCGUACCACGUACGCGCAUCUGGCUCGGCCUCGGCAUCCUCUCGAUAGACGUUUCUGCGCUUGAUUGCGUGGAGCGGAUUUCGGGACUUUUACUUUGAGGAAAUUAGAGUGUUCACGGCAGGCAACCGCCCGAAUACAUUAGCAUGGAAUAAUACUAUAGGAUCUCGAUUCUAUUUUGUUGGUUUCUAGGAUUGGGAUAAUGAUUAAUAGGGACAAUUGGGGGCAUUCGUAUCAACACGUCAGAGGUGGAAUUCUUGGAUUGUGUUGCGACGAACUACUGCGAAAGCAUUUGCCAAGGAUGUUUUCAUUG